CGAACGGGUGAGUAACGCGUGAAUAACCUGACUCAAAGAGGGGGAUAACAACGGGAAACUGUUGCUAAUACCGCAUGAGACCACAACACCGCAUGAUGAAGGGGUCAAAGAUUUAUCGCUUUGAGAGGGGUUCGCGUCCCAUUAGGUAGUUGGAGGGGUAACGGCCCACCAAGCCAACGAUGGGUAGCCGAGCUGAGAGGCCGAUCGGCCACACUGGAACUGAGACACGGUCCAG
rnacentral:rRNA from 1 species